GGAGGGGCUAUAGCUCAGUGGUAGAACAUCUGCUUUACAUGCAGAGGGUUCCAGUUUCAGUUCCUGGCAUCAUUCU
rnacentral:tRNA from 1 species